UCCGAUAUGGUGUAGUGGCUAACAUUAUCGCCUCUCAUGUCCAAAAUGGAUCGCAUCUGCAGCGCGAUAGCCUGGGGUUCAAUUCCCCGUGUCGGAA